rnacentral:rRNA from 14 species
UUGAGAGUUUGAUCCUGGCUCAGAACGAACGCUGGCGGCAUGCCUAACACAUGCAAGUCGAACGAAGGCUUCGGCCUUAGUGGCGCACGGGUGCGUAACGCGUGGGAAUCUGCCCUUGGGUUCGGAAUAACAGUUGGAAACGACUGCUAAUACCGGAUGAUGUCGCGAGACCAAAGAUUUAUCGCCCAGGGAUGAGCCCGCGUCGGAUUAGGUAGUUGGUGGGGUAAAGGCCUACCAAGCCGACGAUCCGUAGCUGGUCUGAGAGGAUGAUCAGCCACACUGGGACUGAGACACGGCCCAGACUCCUACGGGAGGCAGCAGUGGGGAAUAUUGGACAAUGGGCGAAAGCCUGAUCCAGCAAUGCCGCGUGAGUGAUGAAGGCCUUAGGGUUGUAAAGCUCUUUUACCCGGGAUGAUAAUGACAGUACCGGGAGAAUAAGCUCCGGCUAACUCCGUGCCAGCAGCC